rnacentral:rRNA from 1 species
CCUUUGUGAACUUAUACCUUACUGUUGCCUCGGCGCAUGCCGGCCCCCAGGGGCCCCUCUGGAGACAGAGGAGCAGGCACGCCGGCGGCCAAGUUAAUUUUUGUUUUUACACUGAAACUCUGAGAAAAAAAAAAAAAAACAAAAUGAAUCAAAACUUUCAACAACGGAUCUCUUGGUUCUGGCAUCGAUGAAGAACGCAGCGAAAUGCGAUAAGUAAUGUGAAUUGCAGAAUUCAGUGAAUCAUCGAAUCUUUGAACGCACAUUGCGCCCUCCGGUAUUCCGGAGGGCAUGCCUGUUCGAGCGUCAUUUCAACCCUCAAGCACUGCUUGGUGUUGGGGCACUGCCUUUUCCGGAAGGCAGGCCCUGAAAUUCCAGUGGCGAGCUCGCCAGGACCCCGAGCGCAGUAGUUAAACCCUCGCUCUGGAAGGCCCUGGCGGUGCCCUGCCGUUAAACCCCAAACUCUGAAAAUUGACCUCGGA